rnacentral:lncRNA from 1 species
GGAGCUUUCACACUCCAUUGGCCUCAGCAACCUUGUAAACCUUGUAAACACUUAAGAAAACAAUCCCUUCUGGGCACACCUCUUUUCUAAGCCCAUCUUAUAAGACAUCAGCCACAUUGUCUUUCAAGACCAUAGCAGGAGACAGUGCCCAGAAGAGCGAUGGCGGUAUUCUGGGCCUAAGGGGAGUGAGAACAGCUGGGUUGGAGAGGACUGGGUCUACAGCUGAUAUCUGUGAAGCUAUCUUACCCUUCUGCCACCUGGUUGCCACCUACCCUGAAGACUCAUAGGAGAUGGGGAUGACAUUUUGUGGACCUGGGGAAGCUGAAAACCUGGAGCAAACCUCCAUAGCCCAGCUCCAGUGCCCUGUGGCAAUACCCUGGGUUUCUUACAUGUAGGCUGCGACUCUGCAUCCUGUAACCUGAGCUUGGAACAGACGUGGGGGCUGCGGUUUGCUCUUCAGAGGCUUCCAGCUUCCUUGUCCACCUGGGGCCAGGCAGCAACCCCGAGGACAUGGAUAGACUAUAUUUUGGUAAGUCAAACACUGCAUGUUGUUAUCAUCUUUGAUCAUUAUGGGCCAGGACAUCCUUCAUCCCUUGGGGGAAUCACAUGAGUGAGAGAUCCCUAGGACUUUAGGCAAUGGGGUGAAGAACAAGAAUGAAGUCGAAAUGCAUGUAUUUCAUAUCAUCUGGCUGUCUAGAUGAGGAUGGGAGAAUGAGAUUAGGAGUCCAAAGAUCUGGGUUCUAAUUCUGUUUCUGUUACUGUCUGUUGCUUGUCCUUUGUUCUCAAAGAGGACCAUGACAUCAGGGAGGUGAUGCCAUGACAAGCAAGUAAAUUGGAUUUAAGGGAGGGAGGGCUGAGCAAAGUCCCCAGUCUCACUUUCUCCUCCGGAGCCAUCCAGGUCCCUGUAUCAAGAUACAGAUUAGGACGACUUGAGAUGGCCCUGCGGUUUGCUGUCUAUGACUAACUUUUUUAGCCUCAAUUUUCUUACAUAUAAAAUGGGAAUUAAUAAGUUUUAGAGCUAGAAGGAGUCUCUGGAUUACCUACUCCAACUCUCUUAUUUUAUAGAUGAAGAAACAGAAGCCCAGAGAUUUAGGCUGACUGGUCAGCCUUCUACAAGGUAGAAGUCAGUAAAGAGCCAAGAUUUAAACUAGCAGUUAACCCCAACUCCAGCGGCCUUUUCUCCUGCCUGCCUUGCUUAUGGCCCUGGGUUGUUGGGAGAAUCCCACGAGAUUGUGUAAGUGAAGUUACUUUGAGAACUACAGAGUACAAAGUAGACUUGGGGAAUUGUUACUGAACCGUAUAGUGCAAAGAACCCUGAGUCUGGAGGCUGAGGGGCUGGGUUCCAAUCUGAACUCUGCUGCUAACUAUCUGUGAUAGUGGCAGGCCACACUUCUCUGGGCCUUAGUUUCUUCUUCUGCAAAAAAAAAAAAAUGGAAAGGAGGGAUUGCUGAAUUGGAAAGUUUUAAGGUCCUUCCAACUUGAAAUUUAUGAUUCAAUGACAUUUAUUGUG